rnacentral:misc_RNA from 1 species
GAUGAAGAACGCAGUGAAAUGCGAUAAGUAAUGUGAAUUGCAGAAUUCAGUGAAUCAUCGAAUCUUUGAACGCACAUUGCGCCCGCCAGUAUUCUGGCGGGCAUGCCUGUCCGAGCGUCAUUUCAACCAUCAAGCCCCCGGGCUUGUGUUGGGGACCUGCGGCUGCCCGCAGGCCCUGAAAACCAGUGGCGGGCUCGCUGUCACACCGAGCGUAGUAGCAAUCACCUCGCUCAGGGCGUGCUGCGGGUUCCGGCCGUUAAACAGCCUUACAAAACCCAAGGUUGACCUCGGAUCAGGUAGGAAGACCCGCUGAACUUAAGCAUAUCAAUAAGCGGAGGA